CGCCUCUUCCAGCCAGGCCCCGCCUCCUACCGGCCACUCCGGGGAGCCUCCAGGAUUUGAUCACCUUCCGAAGUUCGCACCUAUGAGUGCAGGAGGCUUCCGGGGGACAGACUGGUAUCAUCCAUGACAGAUACUGGGCGUGCACUUGAAAUUUGCUAAGCGAGCUGAUCUCUGCCCUCCCUUCACCCCACCGAAUGAUGCCUGCAGUUGUGUAAACUGAAGAACCUGACCCUGGAAAUGCCAGAGCUGAGACUGGGGAACGGGCUCCCUCGGGCGGGUCUCCAGGCAGUUCACAACACUCAGGAGUCAGGACCCCCACCGUAUCUGUAAGCAGAAUGGAGUUGCCUUCGAGGUGGUUUCGGCCUGUAAAUAAUUCCUCUGAUGGACAACUAAAAUCACUAUGAGGAUGUGGAGAGCUGAAAAUGCAGGUCUGCGUGUGUGUACAGCGGCUGUAUUCACACCUGCGGAGACGUGGGCGUCACCAGGACUGAGCUACUCAGGAGGCUGAAGCAGGAGAAUCUCAAGUUUGAGGAUACCCUGGACAACUUAAACUGAGGCUGCUGUGAGGCUGUGCGCUGCAGUGAGAUGAUCCUUUGCACACACCUUUGUGUGCACUGGGUCCGUGAGGGGAGCCCCGGAAGAUCCUAAGCAUGCAGCACCCAUUUGUUUCUGCUGUGCCCUGCGUGUCGCUGAGUAGAGACCCUGCGUGCAUCUGUGUCCAGCACCUAGAGGACAGCUGGCUGUCCUCGUGUCUUCCCUGAAGUCUCUCCUUCUCCAGUGGGCUAGGUUUGUUCCUCAGCAGUCUCAGCGUCCCUGGAAGGUGGCCUUUCCGAACCUAGACUCGGACCUGGCAUCUCGCUGCUUCUGCAGCACUUCUUUUGGGCAAAGCGAGUCAUGAGAGCAGCCCAGAUUCAAGCAUGGGGAAGAUGCUGCCUCUUGGGGAGAGGGGUUCAACAGUUACCCUGCAAAGGGGUGGAUGGAGAGAAGGGAAUGACCACCCCUCAGGAAGCAAUCGUCCACACUACUCCGUGUAAGAACAGCUUCCUCUGCAUUUCUGGCUGUCAUGGGUCUGCAUCGCCUCCGAGCUGGCAGCUCUGUGGCCAGAAUGUCCUUCCUUACGCCUCCAUGGAGACCCCGCUUUGCACAGGGCCUCUGAAGCACAGAAACGAAGGUCACGCAGGCUGCAUCCUGCACAGGAAGCUGCAGGAAGUCUGCAGUUUCCUCUGAUUUGUCACAGUUCUACCUUAGAGUAAAAUAAAACAUUGUGUAUUUGUGGCUGAUUUGUUUUAAAGAGCACAUGAUCAAGACUCACUUGGGCACGAGACAGCAGUCACUGUCAUUGCGCCCAUCCAUUCAUCUGUGCAUAUUCAGCAUCCACUAAACAGCUUCCGCAGCUCGGGCGCACAGCUAAAGACGAUGAAGAGCCUGGGAUCUCAAGUCAUGAAGAUUUGAAUCUAAGCCUCAGUUUACCACUCGCCAACCAUGUGCCUGGGAGAGUUAUUUAAUUUCUGUAAUUCUCAGCUUCUCCAUCUGAAAAUGAGUGUACUUAUCCCUACCUCACAGGG
ensembl:lncRNA